rnacentral:rRNA from 1 species
GAUGAACGCUGGCGGCGUGCCUAAUACAUGCAAGUCGAACGAAGCGGGGACGGGUGAGUAACACGUAGAGAACCUGCUAUAAGACUGGGAAAACUUCGGGAAACCGGUGCUAACCCGGAUACUGAUAGCUGGCUACGCGCUGCAUUAGCUAGUUGGUAAGGUAACGGCUUACCAAGGCAACGAUGCGUAGCCGACCUGAGAGGGUGAUCGGCCACACUGGAACUGAGACACGGUCCAGACUCCUACGGGAGGCAGCAGUAGGGAAUCUUCCGCAAUGGGCGAAAGCCUGACGGAGCAAUGCCGCGUGAGUGAUGAAGGUCUUCGGAUUGUAAAGCACUGUUAUUAGGGAAGCGGUACCUGAACAGGAAGCCACGGCUAACUACGUGCCAGCAGCCGCGGUAAUUC